CGAGCGGCAGCGCGGGGGCAACCCUGGCGGCGAGCGGCGAACGGGUGAGUAACACAUCGGAACGUACCCUGUCGUGGGGGAUAGCCCGGCGAAAGCCGGAUUAAUACCGCAUACGACCUGAGGGUGAAAGCGGGGGAUCGCAAGACCUCGCGCGAUAGGAGCGGCCGAUGGCGGAUUAGCUAGUUGGUGAGGUAAAGGCUCACCAAGGCGACGAUCCGUAGCUGGUCUGAGAGGACGACCAGCCACACUGGAACUGAGACACGGUCCAGACUCCUACGGGAGGCAGCAGUGGGGAAUUUUGGACAAUGGGGGCAACCCUGAUCCAGCCAUUCCGCGUGAGUGAAGAAGGCCUUCGGGUUGUAAAGCUCUUUCGGCAGGAACGAAACGGUGGAGGCUAAUACCUUUCAUCAAUGACGGUACCUGAAGAAGAAGCACCGGCUAACUACGUGCCAGCAGCCGCGGUAAUACGUAGGGUGCGAGCGUUAAUCGGAAUUACUGGGCGUAAAGCGUGCGCAGGCGGUUCUAUAAGACAGAUGUGAAAUCCCCGGGCUUAACCUGGGAACUGCGUUUGUGACUGUAGGACUGGAGUGUGGCAGAGGGGGGUGGAAUUCCACGUGUAGCAGUGAAAUGCGUAGAGAUGUGGAGGAACACCGAUGGCGAAGGCAGCCCCCUGGGUUAACACUGACGCUCAUGCACGAAAGCGUGGGGAGCAAACAGGAUUAGAUACCCUGGUAGUCCACGCCCUAAACGAUGCGAACUAGGUGUUGGAGAAGGAGACUUCUUUAGUACCGUAGCUAAC
rnacentral:rRNA from 1 species